rnacentral:rRNA from 1 species
CGGCGCACGGGUGAGUAACGCGUAUGCAACCUGCCUACAACAGGGGGAUAACCCGUUGAAAGACGGACUAAUACCCCAUAACACAGGGGUCCCGCAUGGGAAUAUUUGUUAAAGAUUUAUCGGUUGUAGAUGGGCAUGCGUUCCAUUAGCUAGUUGGUGAGGUAAGGGCUCACCAAGGCAACGAUGGAUAGGGGAACUGAGAGGUUUAUCCCCCACACUGGUACUGAGACACGGACCAGACUCCUACGGGAGGCAGCAGUGAGGAAUAUUGGUCAAUGGGCGCAAGCCUGAACCAGCCACGUCGCGUGAAGGAAGACGGCCCUACGGGUUGUAAACUUCUUUUGUAAGGGAAUAAAGUGUAGUACGUGUACUAUUUUGCAUGUACCUUACGAAUAAGGAUCGGCUAACUCCGUGCCAGCAGCCGCGGUAAUACGGAGGAUCCGAGCGUUAUCCGGAUUUAUUGGGUUUAAAGGGUGCGCAGGCGGGAGAUUAAGUCGGCGGUGAAAUUUUGCAGCUCAACUGUAAAAGUGCCUUCGAAACUGGUUUCCUUGAGUGUGGAUGAAGUAGGCGGAAUUCGUUGUGUAGCGGUGACAUGCAUAGAUAUAACGAGGAACUCCGAUUGCGUAGGCAGCUUACUAAGCCAUAACUGACGCUCAUGCACGAAAGCGUGGGGAUCAAACAGGAUUAGAUACCCUGGUAGUCCACGCCGUAAACGAUGAUUACUAGUUGUAUGCGAUAUGAUAGUAUGUGACUAAGCGAAAGCGAUAAGUAAUCC